CGGGACCCUGGACGUUAACCAGUGCAUCAGACUACCGGAUGAAAUCACAGGAAUGAAACCAAAGGGAAUAGGAGCUGAUUUUGCUAGGGGAUACUUGAGUAAUGUAUGCGUUGCUGGAGAAUUGCAAAGAAAUGGCCUCGGCUACGCUCUUAUUUGUAAAGCAAAGACGGUUGCUAAAGACAUGGGAAUAAGUGAUCUAUACGUCCAUGUUGCCAUCGACAACGAGCCAGCAAAAAAGUUG
rnacentral:misc_RNA from 1 species